rnacentral:rRNA from 1 species
CCUACGGGAGGCAGCAGUGAGGAAUAUUGGGCAAUGGACGAGAGUCUGAACCAGCCAAGCCGCGUGAGGGAUGACUGCACUAUGAGUUGUAAACUUCUUUUAUAUGGGAAUAAAACAGGGUAUGCAUACCCUCUUGUAUGUACCAUAUGACUAAGGAUCGGCUAACUCCGUGCCAGCAGCGGCGGUAAUACGGAGGAUCCGAGCGUUAUCCGGAUUUGUUGGGUUUAAGGGGAGCUUAGGGGGUUUGUUAAGUCAGUUGUGAAAGUUUGCGGCUCAACCGUAAAAUUGCAGUUGAAACUGGCAGUCUUGAGUACAGUAGAGGUGGGUGGAAUUCGUGGUGUAGCGGUGAAAUGCUUAGAUAUCACGAAGAACUCCGAUGGCGAAGGCAGCUCACUGGACUGCAACUGACACUGAUGCUCGAAAGUGUGGGUAUCAAACAGGAUUAGAUACCCCUGUAGUC